rnacentral:rRNA from 1 species
CAGCCGCCGCGGUAAUACGAAGGGGGCUAGCGUUGUUCGGAUUAACUGGGCGUAAAGGGCGCGUAGGCGGGUUUUUAAGUCAGAGGUGAAAUCCCAAGGCUCAACCUUGGAACUGCCUUUGAUACUGGAAGUCUUGAGUCCGGGAGAGGUGAGUGGAACUGCGAGUGUAGAGGUGAAAUUCGUAGAUAUUCGCAAGAACACCAGUGGCGAAGGCGGCUCACUGGCCCGGUACUGACGCUGAGGCGCGAAAGCGUGGGGAGCAAACAGGAUUAGAUACCCCGGUAGUCCCUGUCUCUUAUAC